CUCGCCGCCACCGCCACGCCGUGGAAAAACUCCGCACCGGCCGCGUGGAGCCCCCGCCGCGCGGGAUAAAAAUCCCGUCCCUGACGUCGUCGACCCGAGAUCUCUCGGCCACUCGAUGCGAGAGGAGUGGCAGUAUAAGAGGCGAGGCGAGGCGAGCUGGGUUGGCGCGCCGGAGAAGACGAUCGAGCUGAGCUAGCAAGAAGUGGUGAGUUCGGGUUCGAUCGAUCGCCAUGAGCAGCGGGCGCGAGAGCAGGUGGGAGCUCCCGGCGACCCUGCGCGCCCUGGCGCGCGACGCCGGGCAGCAGCUGCGGCUGCCGCGCGCGGCGGCGGCCGCGGCGGCGCCCGGGAGGGAGGUGGUGGCGGCGCGGCGCGCGGAUGGCGUCGCCGGCGGCGGCAAGGCGGACAAGGUGAUGCACCUGCUGCUGUGGGGGCCCAAGUGAUAUGUAACGUGUGUAGCUUUCCCUUCUCCGGGCCGGCCGUCUUGCUCCGCCGCGCCGGCGGCCAUGGCAGCGGCGGCCGCCCACCUCUCUCCGGUCAGGUCACCUGUGUAUAUAUAGUACUCCGUACUAGCUAGCUAGCUGCUUGCUCAGUUUCUCGUUCGAUCUUGCUCCAGAAGCUUGCUGUGUUUUUGGCUAUGGCGUAUGGUGUUUUUGCUCCAGUGUCCACACUGCUUGUUGCUGCCACCGUUUCUGCACAUAGCAAGCAGGCGGAUUCUGCAAGAAUGAAAUGGUUUUCCUCGUGGAAAUUACGCGUUCUAAUGGAUGCUUUUUCUUUUUAUGUAUCAUCAAUCAUGUAUCAGUGCUACUACCUUGUAAGAAACUUCUGCCCAGAGUUUCUGGCGAGUAAUAUUGUAAUGAUCGUGUAAAGUUCCGUUUGAUUGGAA